rnacentral:misc_RNA from 1 species
GAUCAAGAACGUAGCGAAAUGCGAUAAGUAGUGUGAAUUGCAGAAUUCAGUGAAUCAUCGAAUCUUUGAACGCACAUUGCGCCCUUUGGUAUUCCUUAGGGCAUGCCUGUUCGAGCGUCAUUUGAAACCUCAAGCUCAGCUUGGUGUUGGGUGUCUGUCCCCGCCUCACCGCGGGGACUCGCCUCAAAAUCAUUGGCGGCCGGUACGUUGGCUUCGAGCGCAGCAGAAACGCGAACUCGAGGCCCGGCGGAUCGGCGACCAGAAGUCACUUCUUCACAGUUUGACCUCGGAUCAGGUAGGGAUACCCGCUGAACUUAAGCAUAUCAAUAAGCGGAGGA